rnacentral:rRNA from 1 species
AGUGAGCGCUGGCGGCAGGCCUAACACAUGCAAGUCGAGCGGCAGCGGGUCCUUCGGGAUGCCGGCGAGCGGCGGACGGGUGAGGAAUGCGUCGGAAUCUGCCUUUUUGUGGGGGAUAACGUAGGGAAACUUACGCUAAUACCGCAUACGACCUACGGGUGAAAGUGGGGGACCGCAAGGCCUCACGCAGAAAGAUGAGCCGACGUCGGAUUAGCUAGUUGGCGGGGUAAAGGCCCACCAAGGCGACGAUCCGUAGCUGGUCUGAGAGGAUGAUCAGCCACACUGGAACUGAGACACGGUCCAGACUCCUACGGGAGGCAGCAGUGGGGAAUAUUGGACAAUGGGCGCAAGCCUGAUCCAGCCAUGCCGCGUGUGUGAAGAAGGCCUUCGGGUUGUAAAGCACUUUUGUCCGGAAAGAAAUCCUGUCGGCUAAUACCCGGCGGGGAUGACGGUACCGGAAGAAUAAGCACCGGCUAACUUCGUG